CACGGGGGAACUCACCCGGGCCCGAGACCGUAAGGAUUGACAGAUUGAGAGCUCUUUUUUGAUUCGGUGGGUGGUGGUGCAUGGCCGUUCUUAGUUGGUGGAGCGAUUUGUCUGGUUAAUUCCGAUAACGAACGAGACUCUGGCCUGCUAAAUAGUCCGCCCCCCCGCCAAUGGGAGGGGCGCCCGACUUCUUAGAGGGACCAGCGGUGUAUCAACCGCACGAGAUUGAGCGAUAACAGGUCUGUGAUGCCCUUAGAUGUUCGGGGCCGCACGCGCGCUACACUGAAAGAGGCAGAGGGUCGAGUCCUGGUCUGGCGAGGCUGGGCAACCCGUGGACAAACUCUAUCGUGCUAGGGACUGGGGCUUGCAAUUCUUCCCCACCAACGAGGAAUUCCCAGUAAGCGCGAGUCAUCAGCUCGUGUUGAUUACGUCCCUGCCCUUUGUACACACCGCCCGUCGCUACUACCGAUUGAAUGGUUUAGUGAGGCCUUCGGACGGGCCCCGGGCUGGCCGCUUCCGGGCGGCCGGCUGUCUUGGUGCUGCCUGAAAGACGGUCGAUCUUGAUCAUUUAGAGGAAGUAAAG
rnacentral:rRNA from 1 species